rnacentral:sRNA from 16 species
GUCAGCACCCCGCUCUAAAGAGACGGGGCAUCAUGCCUCUCUUUUUAGGUAGCUGACCAGCCUAAGUCCCUUGAAGGCUACGUUAUCGGCAAGAGUUAAAGUUCCUACCCGGAGAUGCGUGGCCAGUCUCCGGCUCUAGA